GAUGAACGCUGGCGGCGUGCCUAAUACAUGCAAGUCGAGCGAACAGACGAGGAGCUUGCUCCUCUGACGUUAGCGGCGGACGGGUGAGUAACACGUGGAUAACCUACCUAUAAGACUGGGAUAACUUCGGGAAACCGGAGCUAAUACCGGAUAAUAUAUUGAACCGCAUGGUUCAAUAGUGAAAGACGGUUUUGCUGUCACUUAUAGAUGGAUCCGCGCCGCAUUAGCUAGUUGGUAAGGUAACGGCUUACCAAGGCAACGAUGCGUAGCCGACCUGAGAGGGUGAUCGGCCACACGGGAACUGAGACACGGUCCAGACUACUACGGGAGGCAGCAGUAGGGAAUCUUCCGCAAUGGGCGAAAGCCUGACGGAGCAACGCCGCGUGAGUGAUGAAGGUCUUCGGAUCGUAAAACUCUGUUAUUAGGGAAGAACAAAUGUGUAAGUAACUAUGCACGUCGUGACGGUACCUAAUCAGAAAGCCACGGCUAACUACGUG
rnacentral:rRNA from 1 species